rnacentral:rRNA from 1 species
GAUCUGGCUCAGUCGUACAAGGUAGCCGUAUAGUUUGAUCCUGGGUCGAUCGGUGCAGUAAUGCCCAUGAAUCUGCCUGGUAGUGGGGGACAACGUUUCGAACGGAACGCUGAUACCGCAAACGUCCUACGGGAGAAAGCAGGGGACCUUCGGGCCUUGCGCUAUCAGAUGAGCCUAGGUCGGAUUAGCUAGUUGGUGAGGUAAUGGCUCACCAAGGCGACGAUCCGUAACUGGUCUGAGAGGAUGAUCAGUCACACUGGAACUGAAACACGGUCCAGACUCCUACGGGAGGCAGCAGUGGGGAAUAUUGGACAAUGGGCGAAAGCCUGAUCCAGCCAUGCCGCGGGUGUGAAGAAGGUCUUCGGAUUGUAAAGCACUUUAAGUUGGGAGGAAGGGCAGUAAAUUAAUACUUUGCUGUUUUGACGUUGCCGACAGAAUAAGCACCGGCAAACUCUGUGCCAGCAGCCGCGGUAAUACAGAGGGUGCAAGCGUUAAUCGGAAUUACAGGGCGUAAAGCGCGCGUAGGUGGUUUGUUAAGUUGGAUGUGAAAUCCCCGGGCUCAACCUGGGAACUGCAUCCGAAACUGGCAAGCUAGAGUAUGGUAGAGGGUGGUGGAAUUUCCUGUGUAGCGGUGAAUGCGUAGAUUAGGAUGGAACACCAGUGGCGAAAGCGACCACCUGGACUGAUACUGACACUGGAGGUGCGAAAGCGUGGGAGCAAACAAGAUUAGAUACCCUGGUAGUCCACGGCCGUACACGAUUCAACUAGGCCGUUGGGGAGCCUUGAGCUCUUAGUGGCGCAACCUAAGGCAAUAAGUUGACCGGCCCGGGGGAGGUACGGCCGCACGGUAAAAACUCAAAUCAAAUGGACCGUGGGGGCCCUGCACCA